GACGUAGGUGGCAAGCGUUGUCCGGAUUUAUUGGGUUUAAAGGGUGCGUAGGCGGCUUUGUAAGUCAGUGGUGAAAUAUGUCAGCUUAACUGAGAGGGUGCCAUUGAUACUGCAGAGCUUGAGUACAGAUGAGGUAGGCGGAAUUGACGGUGUAGCGGUGAAAUGCUUAGAUAUCGUCAAGAACACCUAUAGCGAAGGCAGCUUACUAGGCUGUACCUGACGCUGAGGCACGAAAGUGUGGGGAUCAAACAGG
rnacentral:rRNA from 1 species